CCUACGGGUGGCAGCAGUGGGGAAUAUUGCACAAUGGGGGCAACCCUGACGCAGCGACGCCGCGUGAGUGAAGAAGUAUUUCGGUAUGUAAAGCUCUAUUAGCAGGAACGAGACAAGACGGUAUCUGACUAAGAAGCCCCGGCUAAAUACGUGCCAGCAGCCGCGGUAAUACGGAGGGGGCACGCGCUAUCCGGAAGUACUGGGUGUAAAGGGAGCGUAGAGGGGUGAGCAAGCCUGAGGUGAAAAGCGGGGGCCCAACCCCCGGACUGCUUUGGAAACUGUACGGCUGGAGUGCAGGAGAGGUAAGUGGAAUUCCUAGUGUAGCGGUGAAAUGCGUAGAUAUUAGGAGGAACACCAGUGGCGAAGGCGGCUUACUGGACUGUAACUGACGUUGAGGCUCGAAAGCGUGGGGAGCAAACAGGAUUAGAUACCCGAGUAGUC
rnacentral:rRNA from 1 species